CAGCCGCCGCGGUAAUACGAAGGGUGCAAGCGUUACUCGGAAUUACUGGGCGUAAAGCGUGCGUAGGUGGUGGUUUAAGUCCGUUGUGAAAGCCCCGGGCUCAACCUGGGAAUUGCAGUGGAUACUGGGUCACUAGAGUGUGGUAGAGGAUAGUGGAAUUUCCGGUGUAGCAGUGAAAUGCGUAGAGAUCGGAAGGAACAUCUGUGGCGAAGGCGACUAUCUGGGCCAACACUGACACUGAGGCACGAAAGCGUGGGGAGCAAACAGGAUUAGAUACCCGAGUAGUCCCUGUCUCUUAUAC
rnacentral:rRNA from 1 species